rfam:Lentinula edodes NBRC 111202 DNA, contig: scaffold357.
GGUUCAAUGGCGUAGUGGUUAUCGCAUCUGUCUUACACUUUUCAAAAUAGUUACACUUUGCACAGAAGGUCUCCGGUUCGAUCCCGGGUUGAAUCA